rnacentral:rRNA from 1 species
GAUGAACGCUGGCGGCGUGCCUAAUACAUGCAAGUCGAGCGAACAGAUGAGGAGCUUGCUCCUCUGACGUUAGCGGCGGACGGGUGAGUAACACGUGGAUAACCUACCUAUAAGACUGGGAUAACUUCGGGAAACCGGAGCUAAUACCGGAUAAUAUAUUGAACCGCAUGGUUCAAUAGUGAAAGACGGUUUUGCUGUCACUUAUAGAUGGAUCCGCGCCGCAUUAGCUAGUUGGUAAGGUAACGGCUUACCAAGGCAACGAUGCGUAGCCGACCUGAGAGGGUGAUCGGCCACACUGGAACUGAGACACGGUCCAGACUCCUAAGGGAGGCAGCAGUAGGGAAUCUUCCGCAAUGGGCGAAAGCCUGACGGAGCAACGCCGCGUGAGGGAUGAAGGUCUUCGGAUCGUAAAAAUCUGUUAUUAGGGAAGAACAAAUGUGUAAGUAACUAUGCACGUCUUGACGGUACCUAAUCAGAAAGCCACGGCUAACUACGUG